rnacentral:rRNA from 1 species
UACGGAGGGUGCAAGCGUUGUCCGGAAUCACUGGGCGUAAAGGGCGCGUAGGCGGCUCGGUAAGUAGGGGGGUGAAAUCCUGCGGCUCAACCGCAGGGCUGCCUUCUAAACUGUCGAGCUCGAGCACGGUAGAGGCAGAUGGAAUUCCCGGUGUAGCGGUGGAAUGCGUAGAGAUCGGGAAGAACAUCAGUGGCGAAGGCGGUCUGCUGGGCCGUUGCUGACGCUGAGGCGCGACAGCGUGGGGAGCAAACAGG